rnacentral:rRNA from 1 species
ACAGGUGCUGCAUGGCUGUCGUCAGCUCGUGUCGAGAGAUGUUGGGUUAAGUCCCGCAACGAGCGCAACCCUCGCCCUUAGUUGCCAGCAUUCAGUUGGGCACUCUAAGGGGACUGCCGGUGAUAAGCCGAGAGGAAGGUGGGGAUGACGUCAAGUCCUCAUGGCCCUUACGGGCUGGGCUACACACGUGCUACAAUGGUGGUGACAGUGGGCAGCGAGCACGCGAGUGUGAGCUAAUCUCCAAAAGCCAUCUCAGUUCGGAUUGCACUCUGCAACUCGAGUGCAUGAAGUUGGAAUCGCUAGUAAUCGCGGAUCAGCAUGCCGCGGUGAAUACGUUC